rnacentral:rRNA from 1 species
CCUACGGGUGGCAGCAGUGGGGAAUAUUGCACAAUGGGGGAAACCCUGAUGCAGCGACGCCGCGUGAGUGAAGAAGUAUUUCGGUAUGUAAAGCUCUAUCAGCAGGGAAGAAAAAAGACGGUACCUGACUAAGAAGCCCCGGCUAACUACGUGCCAGCAGCCGCGGUAAUACGUAGGGGGCAAGCGUUAUCCGGAAUUACUGGGUGUAAAGGGUGCGUAGGUGGCAUGGUAAGUCAGAAGUGAAAGCCCGGGGCUUAACCCCGGGACUGCUUGUGAAACUGUCAUGCUGGAGUGCAGGAGAGGUAAGCGGAAUUCCUAGUGUAGCGGUGAAAUGCGUAGAUAUUAGGAGGAACACCAGUGGCGAAGGCGGCUCUCUGGUCUGCAACUGACGCUGAGGCUCGAAAGCAUGGGUAGCGAACAGGAUUAGAUACCCCGGUAGUC